GACGAAGGAUGCAAGCGUUAUCCGGAUUCAUUGGGUUUAAAGGGAGCGUAGGUGGCCUUAUAAGUCAGUGGUGAAAUCUCUGGGCUUAACCCAGAAAUUGCCAUUGAUACUGUAGGGCUUGAGUAUAGUUGCCGUUGGCGGAAUAUGACAUGUAGUGGUGAAAUACAUAGAGAUGUCAUAGAACACCGAUUGCGAAGGCAGCUGACGAAACUAUAACUGACACUGAGGCUCGAAAGUGCGGGGAUCAAACCGG
rnacentral:rRNA from 1 species